rnacentral:rRNA from 1 species
ACGGGUGCGGAACACGUACGCAACCUUCCUUCAAAUGGGGGAUAGCCCACCGAAAGGUGGAUUAAUACCCCGUAACAUUUUCUGGUGGCAUCACUGGAUUAUUAUAGCUCCGGCGUUUGAAGAUGGGCGUGCGCCUGAUUAGGUAGUUGGCGGGGUAAUGGCCCACCAAGCCUACGAUCAGUAACUGGUGUGAGAGCACGACCAGUCACACGGGCACUGAGACACGGGCCCGACUCCUACGGGAGGCAGCAGUAAGGAAUAUUGGUCAAUGGACGCAAGUCUGAACCAGCCAUGCCGCGUGGAGGAUGAAGGUCCUCUGGAUUGUAAACUUCUUUUAUCUGGGAAGAAACCCGUCUUUUCUUGGGUGGUUGACGGUACCAGGUGAAUAAGCACCGGCUAACUCCGUGCCAGCAGCCGCGGUAAUACGGAGGGUGCAAGCGUUAUCCGGAUUCACUGGGUUUAAAGGGUGCGUAGGUGGGCUAGUAAGUCCGUGGUGAAAUCUCUGAGCUUAACUCGGAAACUGCCGUGGAUACUAUUAGUCUUGAAUGUUGUGGAGGUAAGCGGAAUAUGUCAUGUAGCG